CAGUAACAAAGUUAGGACAAGAACCUAAAUCUCCUUAAGCCUGGUUCUUUGUUCUUUCUAUUGUUCUACAGUGUAUGUCCAGAACUAAUCAAAUUCAAACUGGAACUCUCAGGAAAAGGAGUCCAAGGGCAAAGAUUUUCAAAGUUGGUGUUUAGGAAGAAAAGGAACCAGUGCUUAAAUGGUGCCUCUUAUCUAUGAUGAAGGACAUGUGUGGGGAGAGAAGAAGAGGUAGACUGAAGAAGCCAGUAAAUUGCCCCUGGAUUUGGAGAGGAAAGAAGAUGCACACUCCCAGUGCUGGCUGCCUCUUGCAGCAGAUAAAUGAGGCAGCAAUUUUAACUUUUUAUGAAGAGGUUUAUUAGGCUUCUGUGCUAUUCUGGCCUAAUGUUCCUUUGUUUGUGGCAGUUCAUUUUUUCCCUGAUGAAGUGCUAGAGAAAGUCGGAUGUGACCAUUAUGACUUGGAAUACCUCCUCCUUUUUCCCCAUGCUAACCCAGCUCAUGCCUAGGAUGAAAGGACUUUCCUUCUUCCUUCUUUUUUUCCCUUCUUUUUCUUAAUGGCAGCAUCUUAGCAGAGUCUUAUGAAGGGUCCGCCCCAUCCCUCCCCACUCCCACCUCCAACAUUUGAAAGAGGAAGAAUUUCUACAUUAGUGACCCAGAUGACCAGAUAGUCCUUGUGCCCAAAUAUUUUUGUCAAGAUGUAAAGCAAGCAGAGCAUUUGGCAUUUCUAAAAUACACAACAGAGAACCCAGGAUCCACGAAGGAGCAUCUUUCAAUCUUUCAUCCUGCUUUCCUAGGUGGUGCCACUGUUUGUCAUCACAAAUGAAACUCUGUCUGAAGGGAAUUAUGUAAAUUGAAAUAUCAUUUUAGUCAACAAAUGUUUAUGAUGCAUUUUUAAUAGCAUGUAACAAAUGUGUUUGUAUCCCCCUUUGUCUUUAU
rnacentral:lncRNA from 1 species